rnacentral:rRNA from 1 species
AUGGAGGUGGUAGAAAGCUCGGAGGAAGUUGCUGAAGUAACUCAAUUAGGAGGCAGCGGGUUUAGGUUCGUCAUCAACUUGCAUGACAACACAUGUUCUUGUAGACAAUGGCAAGUUUCUAGCCUUCCUUGCAAACAUGCUCUAGCAUUCGUCACAUCACUUGUCAAUGCACGUGUAGAGAAUUAUGUGGACUCAUAUUACUCCAUUGACAAGUUUAGAGCAACUUAUGGCCAACUAAUCCCUGCUAUGUUUGACAAGACCCAGUGGCCUAAAUCUAACCAUGGAUUCUUCAUGCAUCCACCCUUGCUAAAAGCAAUAGCUGGUUGGCCCCAAACAGAGAAGCAUAAGGGUUAUAGUGAGAAAAAGAGGAAAAGUGGCCAGCAAUUAUGCCCUAUUUGUAAGGAAUACGGGCACCAUUGGCCCAAAGAACCACCAAAGAAGAGGAGGAAGACUACCAAAUCAGCCCAGUCAUCCAUUGUGCCAAGAGGUGAUGAAGCACCAGCAACCGCUAUGUCCUUUCCACCAAGCCAAAGCUUAGAAAUUACAACCAAGAAGAAAGGAAAACACAGCCAAACUUGGAGACUACAAAGAAGAAAAAUGGAAAAGGGUGUAAAAGGUGAUCUUUUGCUGCCAUACAUGUACAAGUGCAGAUCAGGGAAGGGGAAGAAGAUGGAGCUUGCUAUAAAGGAUGAAAUUUGUCCUAUGGUGCCAUUUGACAGCCCCGCAAUGAGCACAAGAAGCAAACGAAGACUUAGCUUGUGA